CGGACGCGCAGCCCUCGGGAGGACCGGCCGUCGACACCCUCUCCUCAGGGACGGCUCCCGGCGGGAAGCUCUCGAGGCGGAGGACUCCCGGUCCCGGUCGGCGCUCGCGCUCGCUCUUCCUCGUCUUCGGCUCCGGCCCCGCGCGCCAUGGAGAAGACGGAGCUGAUCCAGAAGGCCAAGCUGGCCGAGCAGGCCGAGCGCUACGAUGACAUGGCCACCUGCAUGAAGGCGGUGACCGAGCAGGGCGCCGAGCUGUCCAACGAGGAGCGCAACCUGCUCUCGGUGGCCUACAAGAACGUGGUCGGGGGCCGCAGGUCCGCCUGGAGGGUCAUCUCGAGCAUCGAGCAGAAGACCGACACCUCCGACAAGAAGUUGCAGCUGAUUAAGGACUAUCGGGAGAAAGUGGAGUCCGAGCUGAGAUCCAUCUGCACCACGGUCCUGGAAUUGUUGGAUAAGUAUUUAAUAGCCAAUGCAACUAAUCCAGAGAGUAAGGUCUUCUAUCUGAAAAUGAAGGGAGAUUACUUCCGGUACCUUGCUGAAGUUGCAUGUGGUGAUGAUCGAAAGCAAACGAUAGAUAAUUCCCAAGGAGCUUACCAAGAGGCAUUUGAUAUAAGCAAGAAAGAGAUGCAACCCACACACCCAAUACGCCUGGGGCUGGCUCUUAACUUUUCUGUAUUUUACUAUGAGAUCCUUAAUAACCCAGAGCUUGCCUGCACAUUGGCGAAAACGGCUUUUGAUGAGGCCAUUGCAGAACUUGAUACACUGAAUGAAGACUCAUACAAAGACAGCACCCUCAUCAUGCAGUUGCUUAGAGACAACUUAACAUUAUGGACAUCAGACAGUGCAGGAGAAGAAUGUGAUGCAGCAGAAGGGGCCGAAAACUAAAUGCAUACAGGGUGUCAUCUUUCUUUCCUUCAAGAAACCUUUUUACACAUCUCCAUUCCUUACUCCAGUUGGAUUUCCUAUAGCAAAGAAACCCACUCAUGUGUAUGGAAUCAACUGUUUAUAGUCUUUUUCACACUGCAGCUUUGGGAAAACUCCAUUCCUUGAUUUGUUUGUCUUGGCCUUCCUGAUGUGCAGUUACUGCUGUAGAAAAGUAUUAAUAGCAUCAUUUCAUAUAAACAUAAGUAACUUCCGAACACUUUGUAGAGUACUAAAAUUACCUGGUAUUUAAGUAAUCUGAACCAGUUCUGCAAGUGACUGUGUUUUGUAUUACUGUGAAGAUAUGAAAACGUAGUUAAUUACAAUUUAAAGAGUGUUCUGCAUAACUCCUUAAUUUCUACAUUCCCUCUUUCUCUCUUCUUUGGGGGUUUCCUUUCAGUAAGCAACUUUUCCAUGCUCUUGAUGUAUUCCUUUUCAGUAGGAAUCCAGAAGUAUUAGAUUGAAUGGAAAAGCACUUGACAUUUCUGGGCUGGGGGUCACAAAUUAAAAUGCCUCCUAUAUCAUAUUGUGGAGGUUAUGUAUAUCUGUGACAACAGGGAGUUUUCUUAUUCACUGUUCAUUUGCUGCUGUUUAAGUUGACAACUUCCCUUCCCAAUAAAAAUUCACUUAACACCUCCUGCCUUUGUAAUUCUGGUAUUCACUUCACUGUGUAAUAGAAGUAGCAUGUUGCUGCCAGACUACAGCAUUGCUUUUGGCAAAUUAAAGUGCAUGUCAUUUCUUAAUACACUAGAAAGGGGAAAUAAAUUAAAGUACACAAGUCCAAGUCUAAAACUUUAGUACUUUUCCAUGCAGAUUUGUGCACAUGUGAGAGGGUGUCCAGUUUGUCUAGUGAUUGUUAUUUAGAGAGUUGGACCACUAUUGUGUGUUGCUAAUCAUUGACUGUAGUCCCAAAAAAGCCUUGUGAAAAUGUUAUGCCCUAUGUAACAGCAGAGUAACAUAAAAUAAAAUUACAUUUUAUAAACCA